UACAGAGGUCCCGAGCGUUUGUUCGGAUUUAUUGGGCGUAAAGGGUGCGUAGGCGGCGGAGUAAGUUGGGUGUGAAAUCCCGGGGCUUAACCUCGGAAUGGCAUUCAAUACUGCUUCGCUUGAGUACUGGAGAGGAGCUGGAAUUUACGGUGUAGCAGUGAAAUGCGUAGAUAUCGUAAGGAAGGCCGGUGGCGAAAGCGGGUCUCUGGACAGUUCCUGACGCUGAGGCACGAAGCCAGGGGAGCAAACGGG
rnacentral:rRNA from 1 species